GAAGGAAACUCUUCUCUUGACUCUCAUGAAGAUGUCAUAUAAUAGAUAUAUGUAAUAAGUCUUGAAUUGUAUGUAUGAACCAGAACAACAAUUUGGUUCAGCUCCCGACUGAAAGUCGAUUACCCUUUAUGUUUUAAACUCAAACUGAGAUGAAAAUGUUCACGGCUAGGCUCGUGAUAUUGUGCUCUCAGUCAUCCCUUUAGUUUUUCUCAUGGUCUUCCAUUUGGCUGAAGUUGCCUCUCUCCUUGAAAAGUUGAGUGUGAUGGUGCCUACAGUACAAUCUAUGCUCAUGAGCUACAUAGUUUGAUGGACUGAUCACGCAGCCUCCAUGGCUGCAUUUGAAACAAGGCCUGUGGUAC
rnacentral:misc_RNA from 1 species